rnacentral:lncRNA from 1 species
ACUCGGCGCCCCCCACCCAUCCCGGCGCGCUUGGAGAUAGACGUUUUCUUUGUCCUUUUGUCAGCUCUUGGGGGCCCCCGAACCCCCAGGCCCCCACUGCAGCGGGGGGGAUCCGGACCGGCCGGCCCUCCCCUCCAACACCACUGCGACCCCUGCCCCGCGGCCUGGACCCGCGACUCGUCCUGUUCUGGGCUGGACAGGAGGCCGGAGAGGACUCGGGCGCCCAAGGUGGAAACUGAGACCCAGAGAGCCGUGACUUGACUGAUCCCACAGCCAGGAAAUGGUGGAGCCUGGAUUUGAACCCCAGCUUUUAAGAAGAAGGUGCCACUGUCCUGGAAGAACUCUCAGGACAGCAUUAGUGUCUCAGGGAUCCCCCUAAUCGGAGGGGCCUUAAGGCAACCUAAUCAUGAUUGUCACUGAAGAUCCAGGAGGGCUUCCUGGAGGAGGAGGCAGCUCCAUUCUGAAAUGCCAAGGGUACAGCUUUAUUGGGACAGCCAGUGUCUCUGAAUAUGUAGGUUUUGCACAGAGCUUGUACUGCCCCAGGGCCUGUACACUGCCUGUCCCCUCUGCCUUGUGCACUCUUUCCCUAGAUGUCCAAAUGGCUCCUUUCCUCACCUACCCCAAAUCUCAAUUCCAGUGUUUCCCCAGCCUCCCCUCAUUUCAGUAAUCACUCUGCAGUGAGCUAGGAUUGCGCCACUGCACUCCAGCUUGGAUAAGAGAACAAGACCCUGUCUCUUAACUAAAUACAUAAAUAAAAAUAAUUCCCCUCUUCAUCCCUCUUUACCCUGUUUUGAUGGUUUUGUUCAAC